rnacentral:rRNA from 1 species
UACAGAGGUCUCAACCGUUGUUCGGAUUCAUUGGGCGUAAAGGGUGCGUAGGCGGUCGUGCAAGUCGGAUGUGAAAUCUCAGGGCUCAACCCUGAAACUGCAUUCGAUACUGCGCGGCUAGAGUGCUGGAGGGGAGACUGGAAUUUACGGUGUAGCAGUGAAAUGCGUAGAUAUCGUAAGGAAGACCAGUGGCGAAGGCGAGUCUCUGGACAGCAACUGACGCUGAGGAGCGAAAGCAUGGGGAGCGAACGGG